CAUCCCCCUGCUCCGUGUCCGCAUCCCCGGGGGAUCCCCGCCGAACGACCGGGGCUGGGGCCGCUGCUCCCGCUGCGGUUGUGCCCGCCAGGGGCUGCUCUGAACAGGCACACGGAGAUGCCUCAGCCCGGACAGACACCACCGACAGCCCAGAAGGACCCCAAGGAGCAGCUGGCAUUGCCUGGAAUGGAGGCACGGGCCGUUUGCAGAGGGGCUCAGGCACCAGUUCCCGUUUCUGACCUCCCAGAGCUCCCACACAGCUCCCAGAUAUUGAAUUCCAAGCAGUAUACCUGGGAGAUGCCUCAAAAUCAGAGGUUCAAGUGGGAUGAAGUUUGGAACUUCC